AGUGAACGCUGGCGGUAGGCCUAACACAUGCAAGUCGAACGGCAGCACAGUAAGAGCUUGCUCUUACGGGUGGCGAGUGGCGGACGGGUGAGGAAUACAUCGGAAUCUACUUUUUCGUGGGGGAUAACGUAGGGAAACUUACGCUAAUACCGCAUACGACCUACGGGUGAAAGCAGGGGAUCUUCGGACCUUGCGCGAUUGAAUGAGCCGAUGUCGGAUUAGCUAGUUGGCGGGGUAAGGCCCACCAAGGCGACGAUCCGUAGCUGGUCUGAGAGGAUGAUCAGCCACACUGGAACUGAGACACGGUCCAGACUCCUACGGGAGGCAGCAGCGGGGAAUAUUGGACAAUGGGCGCAAGCCUGAUCCAGCCAUACCGCGUGGGUGAAGAAGGCCUUCGGGUUGUAAAGCCCUUUUGUUGGGAAAGAAAAGCAGCAGGUUAAUACCCCGCUGUUCUGACGGUACCCAAAGAAUAAGCACCGGCUAACUUCGUG
rnacentral:rRNA from 1 species